rnacentral:lncRNA from 10 species
AAAUCAGCAAAACCUUGCCGUCACCUAAUACAAUGGCAUCUUCUGAUCUAAGAACACCUUCUCUUCUCUAACAAGAAAUAACAGGACAAAUAGAGAAUAAAAACAGCAGGCAAAUAAAUAAGGGCCAUCUCAUAGAUGAGCUGAUAACUGGAUAAAAUACAAGUAAAAUGUUAACUAUAGAUAUAGGUGGUGAGUAUAAGAAUUCACUGGAUAACUACUGGAACUUUUUUGCAUGUUUGAAAAUUUUCAUAAUGUCAGAAGCAUCGCAACAAAUUCAACCAUAGGCACCAAAGCAAGUCACAUUUCUCAUUAAAUGUUUCAUAAAGAGUCAGAUACUCUCCAGGCCAUUUGUUACAACUCCCUAUAUAAAUGCAAUUCUUCAUUCUCAAGACCUUAUUUGUGUUGUUUCCCCACUGGACUCUUCCCAAAUGCAAACCAGGCCCAGUUCAGGUUCUAACACCUUCUAUUUAAAAAAAGAAAAAGAAAAAUCCUUCUUCUCUCUGCUUAAGUGCCAUUGCAUUUCACUGUGUCGUACUAUCUAAAAUACAGAUCUGACAAUUUUUUAGGUGUUAUACUAGUUAGACUGGGUGUUGUUUUUAAUUAUAAGAAAUACUUUCUACGCCAGGCACAGUGGCUCAUGCCUGUAAUCCCAGCACUUUGGGAGGCUGAGGCGGGUGGAUCACUUGAGGUCAGGAGUUUGAGACCAGCCUGGCCAACAUGGUGAAACCCCAUCUCUACUACACAAAUAAACAAACAAACAAAAAACACACACAGAUUAGCUGGGCAUGGUGGCGCAUGCCUGUAGUCCCAGUUGCCUGGGAGGCUGAGGUUGCAGUGAGCCAAGAUUAGGCUAUUGGACUCCAGCCUAGGCAACAGAGUGAGAUCCUGUCUCAGAAACAAAAACAAAAGAACAAACAAACAUUAGCCAGGCAUGGUGGCAGGCACCUGUAAUGCCAGCUACUCAGGAGGCUGAGGCAGAAGAAUCACUUGAACCUGGGAGGUGGAGGUUGCAGUGAGCUGAGAUUGUGCCACUGCAUGCCAGCCUGGGCGACAGAGUAAUACUUUGUCUGAAAAAAUAAAAAUAAAAUAAAACAUAAAAAAGCUAUCUUUUAGAUACGUAUUAAGAUAUUAUACAUGAAGUGAUAUGAUAGCUGGAACGUGCUUUAAAAUAACUCAAGGGGUUGGGUACAAAUGAAACGAGACUGAUCAUAACUGUGAGAGCUAAGCCCAGAGUACAUGACCUAGUUGUUCUAUUUCUAUGUUUUUUGUUAGAAAACAAAUUGAAAAUACAACCCUGGGAAGAAAUUAUGUAGUCAAGUAACUAUACUAUCAAAAUGAAUUAGACAUUUGAAGCAAUUAUCUAUAAAACUGUAGUAAAAAUUGCCCUGAAUCAAGUGAUUCAGCCAAAGGAAAGUCUGUUGAUUAUAUUGCACUCCCCCCCCCGCUUCUUUUUUUUCAAACAAUCAGCUUUCUAUUGCUACUUUUACUGUAGGCCUGACUCUCAAUACAGAAACUUCAAAAUGGGCGCCUAUUCAAUCAGAAUUUGAAAUUUCUAUUUUAUCCUGCCUCGUGAAUUAAUGAGCACAAGUUCUUUAUAGGAUUCCAGCUAAUAGAUGCAGAAGGAAUGACAAGAUAUCACUGGUUGGCAACCUCUAAUGGAAUCCCAGAUGUGGGCAAAUAUCAUUAAUGAUGGCUAAAUCCAUCAGGGGAAAAGCUGAUAGAGAACUUUUGUAAUGAAUGGAGUGGGCUGGCAGCAUCCAAACCCACUAUCAAUCUUAAUGUUACAAGAUGAGAGCCAUUAUGUGCCAUGAUGUGAUACAACAUGGAGCAUAUAUCACCUAUGAAUUAUUUUUGUGAAAAAGCAAAACAGAACAACAGAAGCCCUCUAGAUCUGUCAGUUUAUAGAACAUAUAGGGGACAGAAAAGGUGUACAUGAUCCCAUUAGGAUACAUUCAGUAAAAUCCACUGAAGGACAAUUCUAUAGGACAAACAACUUAGUUUCUUCAAAAAUUAAAAACAGGAAAGUUAAAUCUAUAGAUUAUAUUAACAAAAUGCAAGAUCUAGAUCUUGCCUGGAUCUUGACUCGAAUAAACCAACUGUUAAAAAAAACUUACGAGACAAUCAGGAAGUUUGAAUAUUGACUGGUACUUGGCAUCAAAAAAUGUUUUAGCAGUCUUACACAAUGGUAUUGUGGUUAUGUUCAAAAAAGUACCCUAUCUUUGGAGUUAUAUUUGAAUGUCUCUGAUCACACAGACAUGAAAAUACUAUGCCUGUUAAUGGGACUCAAACUGAUCCCUGUGGGUUGGGGCAGGGGAUAGGUGGGGAUGCAGGUAAACAAGACUGACCACAGGACAGCUGUUGGAGGAUGGGUACACAGAGCUUCAUUCUGCUAUUCUUUUUGUGCAUUUGUGAAAAUUUCCAUAAUAAAAUGUUUUUAAAAAUGAGUUUGGAUAGCAUUAUACUAUAAAAUAUUUUAAAAUUUCCUUCUUUAAUGAAGACUUGCAAGCAGAAAAAUAUAAUUUUCUAAGGGUCAAUUAACUAGUACAUUAACUCAAGUAACAGUUACUUAGCGCAGGGCAUGGUGGCUUAUGCCUAUAAUCCCAGUACUUUGGGAGGCCAAGGUGGGAGGAUGGCUUGAGCCAGGAGUUCAAUACCAACCUGGGCAACAUAGGGAGACCUCUGUCUCUUACAUAAAUAAAAAAAAUUAGCCAGGUAAAACUAGGCUCUGGAGUCAGCCAGAUCUAGGUUUGAAUCCUAGCUCUGUCAUUUUCUAUCUACCAGUUCAAUGUUUUUUGGCAUAGCACACAAUUUCUGUGACCCUUAGGCUCCACAUCUAUAAUGUGGCAGCAACAACUUUCUUGGUCAGUAGAGCACUCUGCAAAGGGCCUGGCACAUGGUAAGUGCUUGGUGUAGAAUUCAAAUAAUUCCACUACCAUUUCAGUCAUAAAUGCAUACUUUUCUAUAAUCUAACAUCUCUCAAAUUGGGAUGUCUCAUAAUUGAUGGCAUAUCAUGAUUUAAUUGGCAGGUUUUUUCCUUAGUCGUUUGUAAAAAAUGGUGCUACAGAUCAAUAGCAUCUAAGAGUCAAUAUACCAUGGUAUCAAUCAUUGUAAAGAUAUAUUCCCAAUUUCUGUUCUAAGGUUACUCUGAAUAACCAAUCUGAGAUUUAAAAUAUUUAAAGUCUGAGUAAAAUAUUUCUAAUACAUCAUGAACAGAACAGUUUUGAGACAAAUUAAUUUUGUAAAAAAUGGUUUAUCAAUUCCAUUUUUGUAUAAAACACACGGGAGAAACCUAGCCAAUCAACACACAACUGUCACCACAUGAAAAGGUACUUUUAUCAAACUUCGAGUCUAAGAACAUACAAAUGUUUCUUUUAUCAUGUCUACAGUAAUUGUCUAUGCUUUUCCAUUUAACUGUUGUUAAAAAUUCCACAUAUCCCCAUUAUUUCUUCUGUCCCAGUUACAGUACAAUGACGGGGAGGAAGAGGGUUGGUUAAAGCAUCCCUCUAAGCAGUUUUCUGCUGUCCCUUCUUUCCAAUCAGAGAUUUGUGGAUGUGAGGGAUCACACCUAGAAUGAAAUUUAAAAAAGUUAUUAAAAACUUUUAAAGUUUUUGCCUCAAGUAAAAAGUUAAUUAUAGAAAAAAUGAAAUUUACUUAAGUCCCUUUUCAUAUUCUGAUACUGUUAAACUAUCUAUACCAAUGGCUACACCCCAGGGGUCUGUGAACCCUUUAAAACUGUAUGUAAAAUUGUGUGACUUUCCGUGCAUUUUUUGAGAAGAGUAACCAUAGCUUUUUUUUUUUUUUUUUUUUGAGAUGGCCUCACUUUGUCGCCAAUGCUGGGGUGCAGUGGUGUAAUCUUGGCUCACUGCGACCUCUGUCCUGGGUUCAAGUGAUUCUCCUACCUCAGCCUCCUGAGUAGC